rnacentral:rRNA from 1 species
UACGGAGGGUGCGAGCGUUGUCCGGAAUCACUGGGCGUAAAAGGCGCGUAGGCGGCGAGGAUAGUCAACGGUGAAAGCUUGGGGCUCAACCCCGAGUCGGCCGUCGAUACUUCCUUGCUUGAGCACUGUAGAGGCAGAUGGAAUUCCGGGUGUAGCGGUGGAAUGCGUAGAGAUCCGGAAGAACACCGGUGGCGAAGGCGGUCUGCUGGGCAGUAGCUGACGCUGAGGCGCGACAGCGUGGGGAGCAAACAGG